GACGAACGCUGGCGGCGUGCUUAACACAUGCAAGUCGAACGGAAAGGCCCCUUUUGGGGUACUCGAGUGGCGAACGGGUGAGUAACACGUGAGUAACCUGCCCUUGACUUCGGGAUAACUUCAGUAAACUGGGGCUAAUACCGGAUAGGAAUCCUUGCUGCAUGGUGGGGGUUGGAAAGCUUCGGCGGUUUUGGAUGGACUCGCGGCUUAUCAGCUUGUUGGUGGGGUAGUGGCUUACCAAGGCUUUGACGGGUAGCCGGCCUGGGAGUGCGACCGGCCACAUUGGGACUGGGACACGGCCCAGACUCCGACGGGAGGCAGCAGUGGCGAAUAUUGCACAAUGGGCGGAAGCCUGAUGCAGAACCACCGCGUGCGGGAUGACGGCCUUCGGGUUGGAAACCGCUUUCAGCAGGGGCGAAGCUUGUGGUGACGGUACCUGCAGAAGAAGCACCGGCUAACUACGUG
rnacentral:rRNA from 1 species